AGAGUUUGAUCCUGGCUCAGGAUGAACGCUAGCGGGAGGCCUAACACAUGCAAGCCGAGCGGUAGGGAUUCUUCGGAAUCUUGAGAGCGGCGUACGGGUGCGGAACACGUGUGCAACCUACCUUUAUCUGGAGGAUAGCCUUUCGAAAGGAAGAUUAAUACUCCAUAAUAUAUUGAUUGGCAUCAAUUGAUAUUGAAAGCUCCGGCGGAUAGAGAUGGGCACGCGCAAGAUUAGUUAGUUGGUGAGGUAACGGCUCACCAAGACGAUGAUCUUUAGGGGCCUGAGAGGGUGAUCCCCCACACUGGUACUGAGACACGGACCAGACUCCUACGGGAGGCAGCAGUGAGGAAUAUUGGUCAAUGGGUGCAAGCCUGAACCAGCCAUCCCGCGUGAAGGACGACUGCCCUAUGGGUUGUAAACUUCUUUUGUAUAGGGAUAAACCUACCCUCGUGAGGGUAGCUGAAGGUACUAUACGAAUAAGCACCGGCUAACUCCGUG
rnacentral:rRNA from 1 species